AGUGAACGCUGGCGGCGUGCCUAAUACAUGCAAGUCGAACGGAGUGGCGCACGGGUGAGUAAUGUAUAGCUAAUCUGCCCUACACUAGAGGACAACAGUUGGAAACGACUGCUAAUACUCUAUAGUGUAGGAUGAGGCUAUAUUGUAUCAGCUAGUUGGUGAGGUAAUGGCUCACCAAGGCUAUGACGCAUAACUGGGCUGAGAGGAUGAUCAGUCGCACUGGAAGUGAGACACGGUUCAGGCUCCUUCGGGAAGGAGCAGUAGGGAAUAUUGCUCAAGGGGGGUAACCCAAGAGGAGCAACGCCGCGUGGAGGAUGACACUUUUCGGAGCGUAAACUCCUUUUGUUAGGGAAGCGGUACCUAACGAAUAAGCACCGGCUAACUCCGUGCCAGCAGCCGCGGUAAUAC
rnacentral:rRNA from 1 species